rnacentral:rRNA from 1 species
UACGUAGGGUGCGAGCGUUGUCCGGAAUUAUUGGGCGUAAAGAGCUCGUAGGCGGUCUGUCGCGUCGAUCGUGAAACUUGGGGCUUAACCCUGAGCUUGCGGUCGAUACGGGCAUGACUGGAGUUCGGCAGGGGAGACUGGAAUUCCUGGUGUAGCGGUGAAAUGCGCAGAUAUCAGGAGGAACACCGGUGGCGAAGGCGGGUCUCUGGGCCGAUACUGACGCUGAGGAGCGAAAGCGUGGGGAGCGAACAGG